CAGCCGGCCACGGUAAUACAGAGGGUGCGAGCGUUAAUCGGAUUUACUGGGCGUAAAGCGUGCGUAGGCGGCUUUUUAAGUCGGAUGUGAAAUCCCUGAGCUUAACUUAGGAAUUGCAUUCGAUACUGGGAAGCUAGAGUAUGGGAGAGGAUGGUAGAAUUCCAGGUGUAGCGGUGAAAUGCGUAGAGAUCUGGAGGAAUACCGAUGGCGAAGGCAGCCAUCUGGCCUAAUACUGACGCUGAGGUACGAAAGCAUGGGGAGCAAACAGGAUUAGAUACCCCUGUAGUCCCUGUCUCUUAUA
rnacentral:rRNA from 1 species